rnacentral:lncRNA from 1 species
AAUAAGAAUAAAUAUUUAUUUGUUUGUUUGUUUGAAGACAGGGUUUCCCUGUGUAGCCCUGGCUGUCCUGGAACUUUGUAGACCAGGCUGACCUCGAACUCAGAAAUCCGCCUGCCUCUGCCUCCCAAGUGCUGGGAUUAAUGGCGUGCACCACCACGCCUGGCUAAGAAUAAAUGUUUAGAAGGCAUUUAGGAAUUAGUCUAGUUUAGAAAAGUGGUGGCUGUAGGUUCUUUCAGAUUUAUGACUUCACCAGCCCCAAGAAGUUGGUUAGUCUUCCAGUAUAAGGUGUGAUUGAUUUCCCAAUUGUUGAGAAAGCCUUAAGUCCAGUUAGAGAGCAGUUGGUCACUAUAUUAUACCUUUAGGGUCAUCAUGCUAUGCCGGCCAUCAGCAUCAUAAUGUGUAGGACUGUUGUAGACUUCCCUGCCCUUGGAAGCCUUCGUGCAACUUCUGGUACCAUGAAAGCUGGCUCUCAGGGAAGAGGCUUUCAGGUUAGAUAAGGCUCAGAUCCUCUGGGUUCUGUGCCCAAAGCACAUGGUAUCGUUAGCAGUAAGAACUUACCUUCAUUCUCCAGGAGGCAACAAGAACAAUACCUUGUAAUGUUUUGGGAGUCUCUUGGACUCCUCUGACAAACAGCUCAUACAGAGCUUCUCAUGUCUGAUCCUGGGGGGGUUUGUUAAAUAGUGUAUGGCUUAGGGGUGGGGGAUAAGCAUUGCCACACCAGGUGAGAUAAUCCCAUUUAAAUUAUAUAUAUAUCUAUGUGUACUGUGUGUAAUGUUAGGUAAAUAACUAGUAUGAAUCCAUGUGACCUUUUCAGACACCUUUGCCGCCAUUUUACCCUCUUUCACAGAAUGCUGAGACAGGGUCACACUAACAGUCAUGGCUGUCCUGGAAUUUGAAUAUCUGACUAUCUCUGCUUUCUAAAUACUAUACACCACCAUCCCGGGCUCCCUUUUAUUAAUUCUUGGAGAAUUUUGCACAUCCAUACAAUGUAUUUUGAUCAUUUUCACCCCUGUUCCUCCCCCUAACUUCUGCAGGGUACAUCCUCCCCCAACUUCAUAUCUUCAUUUAAUUUAAUGAUGGAGUCAACUUUGUAGUAUCCAUAUACAUAUUGGUGGGGGGCUGUCCACCGGAGUGUUUCCCACCUACCAGGAAAUAUACCCAUAAAGAAAACUGACUCUCCCUUCCCUAGUGACCAUGAAUUACCCAUAGCUUCUCAGCUAGGGCUUGGAGCUUGUGAGCCUUUCUUCUUCCAUUCUGGAAUGUUGGCUGGCAAGAUCUUGAGCAGGUCUUGUGCAGGUAACCACAGUGCCUUGAGUUCCUGAAUACAUCAGUCCUGUUGUGUCCUUCCCAACCUAUGACACUGAAACAUUUCUGCCCUCUCCUUCCCAGUGUUCCCUGAGCUGUGGUGGACAGGAAGUAACACACAUGUCCCAUUGGUCUCUAAGGAUCCCACAGUCACUUGAUUUCUGUGCUUUGGCCAGUUGUGAGUUUCUGCAUUAAACACCGUUUGCUGUACAGAGAAACUGCUUUGGUGAGGAAUGAGAGCUUGAUACUAAGUCAGUUUAGCAAAACACUAGUAGGUUCACUGCUGGGGCCAAGGAGGCCCACAGUAUUGAGUUCUAAAGUCAGUUAACAGUUCCACACAUAGGUUCUCUUCUAUGUAUCAGGCAUAAAUCUAAGCAGACAGCACUUGUUUACCCCUGAUAUCCUUUGUGCCAAUAUUCCCACCUUGGGCAUAUCUCAUCUUGCCAGGCCAGUCUUUAUUGUAGCUUACAUGGUUAGUAGCUGUUAGGUAGAGGACAAUACUCUAUUGACUGGCUAUUUCAUGCUACUGACAUCGGAAUUUUUUUUUUCACCUUGUUGUGGAUUUCUUCUUGCUUGCCCCACCCUUCAUUGGUUUAGUACCUACGUCAAUUUUUAAAGGUAAGAAUUAGAAGACUUGAAUGCUCACUGGAGUACAUUUUGCUUAAGCAAGUACUCUGUAUAAAUCUCUGAUCUAAAUUAACAACAUUCACUCAUAUAAACGCUUUGAUCUCACUUUUUAAAUAUUUUUAGUAAAUACAGGAAGGCCACCAGCCAAGAAAUCAGGCUGUUUGUUCUGGUUUCAUUUGAUUCUGCUUAUAGCUACAUGACUUUCAGCAAGUGUUUGCUGAGUUCUAGUAUGGUUACAGUGUUUCAUUCUCAUUUGGGAAUUUAAAACAGUGAAUAGCCUGUGGUAUCCAAAUAUUUUGGGGUCUCGGUCACCUUGCAAGAGAAACUACUAGAGGAUCCAGAGGUGUCCUGCAGCUCAUUCUACUGUUUUUAAACUUCCACCUGGCUGUAAUUCUAAGCACGUACUUUUGUGUACAAGUUGUUCAUGCAACUUCUCUGAAUGUGUGUGUCUUGUUAGUCUUCGCCUGUGCUAUGCCUUUAGUAGUAGCAAAACUUGCUUCUGUAUAAGGGACUGAAAAACCAGAUAUCAGAAGCUUCACUAAAUCUACUCUUAAUGAUGUGCUGCUAUGUGGAGAAAUGGAAAAAAAAGUAUUGUUUAACUUUUUCAUAGCAUUGUCUAGAAUAAAUUUCACUCUUUUUUUCUUCCCCAUUAUCAAAUGCAGAAAUAGAAGUUGUUUUCUGUGCAGGCUAAAUUCAGUUGUUUAUUUUUAUUUAUGUUAUAUUUCUUAGUUGUUGUUUCCAUGGCUUGCUAUAUGUUUAUGGCUAAUACUAAUGAUAUACUAUAGGUUUUUUUUGUUUUGUUUUGUUUUAACCAAAGAAAUAGAGCAUUUAAGAAUAUGUGAGGGGCUGGAGAGAUGGCUCAGCAGUUAAGAGUAGUAUCUGCUCUUCCAGAGGUCCUGAGUUCAAUUCCCAGCAAUCACAUGGCAGCUCACAACUGUCUAAACUCUACUUCCAGGGAAUCUGACAGCCUCAAAGACCAUCCCACAUUU